AGUGAACGCUGGCGAUAGGCCUAACACAUGCAAGUCGAACGGCAGCACAGUAAGAGCUUGCUCUUACGGGUGGCGAGUGGCGGACGGGUGAGGAAUACAUCGGAAUCUACUUUUUCGUGGGGGAUAACGUAGGGAAACUUACGCUAAUACCGCAUACGACCUACGGGUGAAAGCAGGGGAUCUUCGGACCUUGCGCGAUUGAAUGAGCCGAUGUCGGAUUAGCUAGUUGGCGGGGUAAAGGCCCACCAAGGCGACGAUCCGUAGCUGGUCUGAGAGGAUGAUCAGCCACACGGGAACUGGGACACGGUCAGGACUCCUACGGGAGGCAGCAGUGGGGAAUAUUGGAAAAUGGGGGCAGGCCUGAUCCAGCCAUACCGCGUGGGUGAAAAAGGCCUUCGGGUUGUAAAGCCCUUUUGUUGGGAAAGAAAAGCAGCAGGUUAAUACCCCGCUGUUCUGACGGUACCCAAAGAAUAAGCACCGGCCAACUUCGUG
rnacentral:rRNA from 1 species